AUUGAACGCUGGCGGCGUGCCUAACACAUGCAAGUCGAGCGGAUGAAGGGAGCUUGCUCCUGGAUUCAGCGGCGCACGGGUGAGUAACACGUGGAUAAUCUACCUGUCAGUUUGGGAUAACAGUUGGAAACGACUGCUAAUACCGGAUACGAACCGAAUUUGAACUUGGUUGAAAGGGGGCCUCUGCAUAUGCUUCCGCUGAGAGAUGAGUCCGCGUCUCAUUAGGUAGUUGGUGGGGUAAUGGCUCACCAAGCCUGCGAUGAGUAGCCGGCCUGAGAGGGUAAUCGGCCACACUGGGGACUGGGAACACGGGCCCAGACUCCUACGGGGGAGGCAGCAGGUGGGGGAAUNUUGCGCAAUGGACGAAAGUCUGACGCAGCGACGCCGCGUGAGGGAUGAAGGCC
rnacentral:rRNA from 1 species